UACAGAGGGAGCAAGCGUUGUUCGGAAUUACUGGGCGUAAAGGGCGCGUAGGCGGUCUUGCAAGUCCUGUGUGAAAUCCCUCGGCUCAACUGAGGAACUGCACGGGAAACUGCGAGGCUUGAGUUCGGGAGAGGGAAGCGGAAUUCCGGGUGUAGCGGUGAAAUGACGUAGAUAUCCGGAGGAACACCGGUGGCGAAGGCGGCUUCCUGGACCGACACUGACGCUGAGGCGCGAAAGCUAGGGAGCAAACGGG
rnacentral:rRNA from 1 species